rfam:Brachypodium distachyon strain Bd21 chromosome 4, whole genome shotgun sequence.
AUACUACUCCCUCUGUCCAACAAAGGAUAUCUUAACUUUGAUUAAAUUUGAAUGCAUUUAUACACCAAGUCAUGUCUAGAUACAUCCAAAUUUUGACACAUUUAUGACAUCUUUUGUUGGACGGAGGGAGUAGAAU